GUUCCUCGCCUUCUCGCUGAGCGCGGGGUGGGGCUGGAGAGGGGGUAGAGUGAGGGAAGAGGGCUGGUUUCGUGUCGUGAGCCUAAGCAUCCUGUUAGCGUAGCCCAAAUCCAAGAGUUGCAAUGAUAGCAGAGCGGGUGGGUCUGUGCUGGUGUCUUAGUGCAGGUGCUGUGGAGCAUGGAGGGCAGAGGAGUGCCUUGUCUCCAUCUGACAGUAGUGACAUGGGGAUAUAGGUGAUUUGAGCUUACGGUGCUCAAUUAUACGAGAUUGACAAUGUAACUGCUGCUCUCCAAGAUCUAGGCUGUGGUUUUUCUUUUGUUUUUCUUUUUUUUCUUUUUUUUUUUGACUGCUAAAAUCUAGCAGCUAAAUUCUAUUUUAAGCCCAAAUUAUAUGAAUGCUGCAAUGUGAAAAGUUACAAAGUUGUUCUUGCACUAAAAGCAGCUGUUUGUGUCGGCUUGGUGGCUUUUCAGGACCCAAACAGCCGCUUCAGUAUUGUAUUUUUCAGUUUCGUGUUAAUUGAGUUAAUCUUCAGUAUUGCACGUACUUGUUUGGUCAAGACUAUUUCAUUCCCUUCUAGGAUAUCUAAGUUAUUUGGAAGAAUACUGUGAUAGAAAAAUUAAUUAUCUUCAAGUAAAUAAGUAAGAUGCACCUGACUGUCUGCCUGUGACUAUGGAGAAUCAGAUAUUGUUUGACAUAAGAUCAGCUACAGAUGAUGGAUUUCUAACUGAAAUAUUAAAUCAAAAUGUUCCUGAUAGUUCUGAAAACUUCAGUCUGGAAACCACAGUAAUUAAUAAUCCUGUUGAAGAAGGAUUAUCGUCCAGUCAAGGCAAUCAGUUAUACACUAUAAAUGUGGGAGAGGCUUUGUUGGAUCACUUCGAGUAUCCUCUUUCCACUGAAAAUCAGAAUACAAUAGCAAAAGUUGAAAUAUAUCCACACGGAAACAAUAGCUGUGACAAUGAAGAUCUUGAAAAAUACAAAGGAUUAAAUCUUGAAGAAGCUGAUUAUACGCAUUCACCUUACCUGCCUUCAGAUGGUGACCAUUUCCUUUCUUCUGUAGUGACACAGCAUAAAAAUUGCAGUGUUCCAACUUCAAGUGUUUUCUCUUCAGAAGGAGCAGUCAAUCAAAAUGUUGGAGCCAUACCUGUGAUCAGAUCAUUAAUACCUCCAGCUGAAGAUGAGAAUAACUGUAUUUAUUAUGAUCAGUUUAAAGGAAUACAAAACAGUCCUAUGCAGUCAAAAAAUUUGCCAGAUUGCUUUAAUGGGUUAGAAAAGGGGAUGAAUGUCUGAAUAAAAUAAUUUCUGGAUUUGGAAAGUUGCAGCAUGAGCUCCUUCUAAUAACGGUCAUAGAGCUAAGAAUGUCUGAAAGGAGAAAGUUUUGAAACAGAUCAAUGUUUGUUCAUGUGUGUUCUUGUUGCUUCAGCCACAAAGUUCAGGCUUACUUUGGAUUUUCCCUUGUUC
rnacentral:lncRNA from 1 species